GAUGUCUCCUUCUUCCUUCCUCCCUUCCAGGAGUUGUUCUCCAGUCACCUCUGCAAGCCUGUGUAUUACCUAUGUUUCUGAAAGGAAGAGUUGACAGAGUAUUUAAUUUCGAAUUUUGAAAAAAACAAGUUGUUUCACUUAAAAUCUGAUUGCCUUGCCCCUCAUUGCCCCCCUGCAAUUUCCCUACAUGUAUCUGCUAAAGAGGUUAUAUAUAGCCUUUCUGCUACCCAGCAUUUGUUUAGAUUAAAAUUAGAAUUACUAAAAUACCAUGGAGAUUCUUAUUCCAGCAAAAAUAUUUUUAACUGGACAAAAAGUGUAUUCCAGUCACAGUUGCAGCAAUAUCUUUCAGAUCCUGACCUUGCUGUAGGUGUUCAUUGAGUUCAGCCACACUUCAAGUAUUUUGUUCCACAGAAUCAUCACCUACAGUAUUUCUGAUUUUGGUGUACUUGUGGAUCCAGUAAAAUUAUGAGCUGAACUGCACACUAAAGUGUGGAGUUAGCUCCCAGGAACUGCAGCCCAUGAGUACUUGAGAAGGGCUCUCUGGCCAAGGGGAAGGGAUGACCAGUGGGGCUGAUCCUGGGUCUGCAGGGCCCCAGGUGGGAGCAGUAGAAAUUCAGUUUCGAGGCUGAGCAUUGUUUCCUGAAGGUCUGUUUCUGAAUUUUGGGAGGAUACACAACUUCUACUGUCCUCACCGAGAAGUUGCUUGUGCUGCUGUUCUACUGUAGGUUUUAACUUCAGUUUAUCCUGGUGGUUUUCAAAGGAAGGAAUGGAGACCUCAUGACAAGUAUUGUUUUAAGCAUGUGGUACCUUACUGUCUACUUCUCAUCAGGAUCAUCUUGGAAACUCAGCAGAAAAGCUCAGCGUUUCUCAGGGAGGAGUAGGAAAGUACACAGGAGCAUCUCGGCUCCAGCAGGGGUCACCUGCCCUUUGUUCCAGGCAUCGUUCUCACAAAAGCUCCUUUGCACUGGGUUUUUCUCAUGCUUCUCUUUGCAGGAAAGUGUCCGUGGAGCAGCACAUCCUGGGCCAGUAAAGGUGUAACCAUUUCCUCAUGACAGAAGGAAUCACGGGGGAAGUGAAACAAUGUAUGGCCUAAUCAAUAUUGAGGAUCUGUGUGGUCUUUGAGUGCAGGCUCCAAGGUGUACAUUCAGAAAGACAGCCUGUCCUUUACAUAUUGUUCUGCAGCACAGAGUAGUAAUGGUAUGGGUAACAUAAGACCUGCAAUUAUGAGAGCAAAGAGAAUGAGAGAAUAAAUUAAUGAGAGCAGAGGUUAAAUUAACAUAGCCAGUGUCACCGAAUGACACACGUGAAAAUUCACAGCUGACAGAAAACUUCCUGCUGCUGGAGGGAGACAGUCAUUUAGCCAGGCAGUUCCUCAGUUUUGGCUUUCUGUGCAUUUGACUUUCUGAAACAUGACUGAAAAUAGGAGUGUGCCCAGACCCAGACAGGAGGGCUGAGGAGUGGACUGCAGUGCUGCUGCUCUAGUGUACUCCCCUCACUGCUGACUAGCAAAGAGCAACUGUUCAAAGAUGGGCUCUGGUGGCAGAAAGUUGUUUGCAGAAGUUGCAGGCCACCAUUGGGCCUUCUGGCCCUUAAGAAUGAGGCUCCUUUGUAUUCAGUUAGAAAAAAGAAAUUCAGCUGAACACACCCAGGAAAAAGCUCCUCUGUGAGAUGAGUCCCCACAGAGACAGAGGCAACACUUUGGUCACCUUUGAUCACACUGAGCAGCGCUUGACCCUUCAUGGAUUUACCUGGAAAUUGGAAUCUACCCAACAGGGUACGUGUUUAUGUUGUCAGACAAGGAAUAUCCAGGGAUAGCUGUCCAUUUUCAGAGCAAUUUUCAAGGCUUGAUACAUCAUGUGGAAUCUGUCUGGCCCAUCACUCAGACUGUGGACAAGGAAGUGGUGUUGCAGAAGACAAGUAUAUCAGUUCAGUUCUUGUCUGUCUCAGUCCAUCUGGUGAAGCAUCAAGUGUGUGGGAGCACUCGGUCCAGAGCAAGGAGGUUCUUUACAGAAGAAUCAGCCUGAUGAGCACUGGUUUUCAUGCGCGUGCUUGUUUGCAUGCUUUGUGUUUUUCCACUGGACCAACCAAUGGACUUGCAUGACUAGAAAUUCAAACAAGCAAAUUCCAUAAGCAGCUUGACAGCUACACAAGACUAAGAAGGCAAAGGCUACAGAGCAGAAGGCUCUUAAAAGCAAAGGCUUCUUAAAUGAAAUAUUGGUGGUCCUCACCUCUUGUCUUCAGUUGUCAGUGACCCAGGGUUAGCAAAAGUUGGUACAGCUAUUCCAUUCUCAUGUCCAGAGUAACCCAGCACA